UGGGGUGGGGUGACUGCGUACCUUUUGUAUAAUGGGUCAGCGACUUAUAUUCUGUAGCAAGGUUAACCGCAUAGGGGAGCCGGAGGGAAACCGAGUCUUAAUUGGGCGUUAAGUUGCAGGGUAUAGACCCGAAACCCGGUGAUCUAGCCAUGGGCAGGUUGAAGGUUGGGUAACACUAACUGGAGGACCGAACCGACUAAUGUUGAAAAAUUAGCGGAUGACCUGUGGCUGGGGGUGAAAGGCCAAUCAAACCGGGAGAUAGCUGGUUCUCCCCGAAAGCUAUUUAGGUAGCGCCUCGUGAAUUCAUCUCCGGGGGUAGAGCACUGUUUCGGCCAGGGGGCCAUCCCGGCUUACCAAUCCGAUGCAAACUGCGAAUACCGGAGAAUGUUAUCACGGGAGACACACGGCGGGUGCUAACGUCCGUCGUGAAGAGGGAAACAACCCAGACCGCCAGCUAAGGUCCCAAAGUCAUGGUUAAGUGGGAAACGAUGUGGGAAGGCCCAGACAGCCAGGAUGUUGGCUUAGAAGCAGCCAUCAUUUAAAGAAAGCGUAAUAGCUCACUGGUCGAGUCGGCCUGCGCGGAAGAUGUAACGGGGCUAAACCAU
rnacentral:rRNA from 1 species